CCGGCCCCGCAGCAGCCGUACUACGCGCCCCAGCCUCCCCCUCCGCCCGCCCCGCGCCGGAGCGGCCCCGGCUGCCUCCUGUGCUUCGUCUUCAAGGUCAUCGCCCUGGUCGUCAUCGCGCUGGGCGCCGCCGUCCUCGUGCUCUGGCUCAUCCUGCGCCCGGGCGCCGUCAGGGCCACCGCCGUCUCCGCCACGCUCUCCCGCUUCGACCUCGCCGACGGCGAGGGGGUCCUCCAGUACAACCUCACCGUGGACGUCCGCGUCCGCAACCCCAACCGCUUCCGCAUCCACUACGAGUACGCCGAGGCGCAGGCGUCCUACGACGGCGAGCGCUUCGGGUACCACCCCGUCCAGCCCUUCUACCUGGAGCGGAAGGGCGAGCGCACCGUCACGGCCGCGUUCGCCGGCUCGUCGGCCGUCGACGACCGCGGCGCGCUGCGCUCGUACCGGAGGGAGAGGGGCGACGGCUUCUACUACGUCAAGGUGAGGCUCUACGCCGACCUCGGGUUCAAGGUCAGGGUCUUCAACGCGCGCCGCAAGAGCAAGAUCACCUGCACGCUCCGCCUGCCGGUGCCCAACGCGAGCGCGGCGCCGGUGCCGACGAUGCUGGGGACGAGGUGCGCCGUGGACUUCUGA
rnacentral:rRNA from 1 species